CCAGAUCAGGUGGUCAGCCUCUGACAUUUUGCUCACAGCGCCCUGGAACAGUUAUGCAACCAGGUUGUGAUAUAAUGCCCAGUGGAGCAGCUCCAGCUGCGCCUCUAGGCCGGAGCUCCCACCGGGCCAAAGAAGUCCCUCAAUUCUGAACGAUUUCAGUUCAAUUAGAAGGGAAGCGCGUCCCGGCUCCGGGUGGGACAGGAAGUGUCGGAGCGGCCUGAUAUCCGGCUGCAGCUGUGAGAACAUCUGUGGUUAUUCUUAACGCCCUGCAGGGGGGGCCGCACCUGUCUGGACCCGGCACGCCAGCGCACAGCAGACAGGAGUUCUUCAACAGGAUUUCCGCAGAAGGCCUGAAAGUGUGAAUUUGUUGGCAGCUUGUUGGAGCACCGGUACUUCACGUCACGUGUACGGAUCAUGGUCAGGAGAGGCUAUAAUUACUCUGGCCAGAGGGCUCCAGCUCCCCCUGUCAAACCACAGCCCCCACCCCACCGGAAGAUUCAAUUUCAAGAUUGAAGAGUCUUGGAUGAAGUCCUCCAUGUGCUGCUCACUGAGUGGACGGAGCUGCAGGUGGUGCUCAGAGUGAAGGAGGCUCGGCUCCUCCUCGGCGUUCUCAUGGUCGAGGCCAAAGAGCUCCUGGCUGUCAGAGUGAAGUUCACGCCGUAAAGCCGGGACAUUCCUUUGGUUUCAUGCGGUCUGAGACACGUGCUCUGAACCCUGUCAGCUAAGCAAAGGCUUUGAACAAAAAAACUUUAAAACUUCUUCACAUGUACACCUCUUUUUCUCUUUUUGCAUACGUUUUUUUAACUACAAAAUACAUAAAUAAUGUGUUUUCCAAAGAGCAUUGGUGUCAGGUUUCUUUUCAAAGUAAAACUAAAAGAUUUCUUGA